rnacentral:tRNA from 1 species
AGGCGCGUAGCUCAUCGGUAGAGCACUGCCCGCACACGGCAGAGGUAGGAGGUUCAAUUCCUUCCCGCGCCUACCA